rnacentral:rRNA from 1 species
AGUGGCGGACGGGUGAGUAACGCGUGAGAAUCUGCCUUCAGGAUGGGGACAACAGUUAGAAAUGACUGCUAAUACCCAAUGUGCCGAAAGGUGAAACUUUUAUGGCCUGAAGAGGAGCUCGCGUCCGAUUAGCUAGUUGGGGUGGUAAGAGCGCACCAAGGCAACGAUCGGUAGCUGGUCUGAGAGGAUGAGCAGCCACACUGGGACUGAGACACGGCCCAGACUCCUACGGGAGGCAGCAGUGGGGAAUUUUCCGCAAUGGGCGAAAGCCUGACGGAGCAAUACCGCGUGAGGGAGGAAGGCUUUUGGGUUGUAAACCUCUUUUCUCAAGGAAGAAGAACUGACGGUACUUGAGGAAUCAGCAUCGGCUAACUCCGUGCCAGCAGCCGCGGUAAUACGGAGGAUGCAAGCGU